rnacentral:rRNA from 1 species
UACGUAGGGGGCUAGCGUUGUCCGGAAUCAUUGGGCGUAAAGCGCGCGUAGGCGGCCCAGUAAGUCCGUUGUAAAAGUCAAAGGCUCAACCUUUGAAAGCCGAUGGAUACUGCUGGGCUAGAGUCCGGAAGAGGCGAGUGGAAUUCCUGGUGUAGCGGUGAAAUGCGCAGAUAUCAAGGAAGAACACCUAUGGCGAAGGCAGCUCUCUGGGACGGUACUGACGCUGAGACGCGAAAGCGUGGGGAGCGAACAGG